rnacentral:rRNA from 1 species
AUUGAACGCUGGCGGCAGGCCUAACACAUGCAAGUCGAGCGAGCGGCGGACGGGUGAGUAAUGUCUGGGAAACUGCCUGACGGAGGGGGAUAACUACUGGAAACGGUAGCUAAUACCGCAUACCAUCAGAUGUGCCCAGAUGGGAUUAGCUAGUAGGUGGGGUAACGGCUCACCUAGGCGACGAUCCCUAGCUGGUCUGAUUGGAUGACCAGCCACACUGGUACGGAGCCACUGUCCAGACUCCUACGGGAGGCAGCAGUGGGGAAUAUUGCACAAUGGGCGCAUGCCUUAUGCAGCCAUGCCGCGUGUGUUAAGAAGGCCUUCGGGUUGUAAAGCACUUUCAGCGGGGAGGCGUUACCCGCAGAAGAAGCACCGGCUAACUCCGUGCCAGCAGCCGCGGUAAUAC